rfam:Bombyx mori DNA, contig: Bm_scaf1375_contig45794, strain: p50T/Dazao, build 2, whole genome shotgun sequence.
UAAAAGUUAACUCGUAUGGAGUUGGAACGUUUGCCUGCGUUUACCGCUAGGGGCGCUGUACCAACUGCAUAGAGAUUUGAGUUA